CAUGCAAAUCCCUGUCACUGCUAGAUAUGUGUCCCUGCCCAGCUCCCAUCUCAAACAGGAGUGGCCCCAAACGCUGUGCUCCGUGUGGCAGAGAGUAGAAGAGACACACAGAUCAGACUGAUGGAUGAAAUGGGCACCAACUAACUGGAUGAUUCCAGGAACUGCUACUAUCAACCUGGAUAGCCCAGCCAGCCACGGCACCUGGAAUUGUUCCCACUGAAAUACAGGCUGGAGUAAAGUGUUGUCAGCUGGAUGGCUGCUGCAGUUCCAGCCCUCAAAUCAGCACCCCAAAGAAAAGCAUCACUUCUGGAAGCUGGGCCAGAAGAUCGAAGAAGAAUGUUUCUUUGAUGCAUCUUAUUGACCAAAAUUGGGCCACAUGCCUGUUCCUGAGCCAUCACCAGGAAAGAAGUGGAAAAGCACAUUGCUCAGGGCCAGAGAGAGUGUCAGCUUUCCUCAAGGUAUCUGGACUGGAUGGGUGAAAUGAGCCAUACAGAUGAAACAUCCAGAACUUAACAUUACUCACUUCUAAAGGAGCAAAGCACGUCUCCGACGAGGGCAUGUUUGUCCAGACUCACCUAACAGACUUUCAGUUAAUGACACUUCACUGUCAUGGCUUUGGAAAAAUUAAACCAGUUUUCA
rnacentral:lncRNA from 1 species